GCCUGGGUGGCUCAGUCCGUUGAGCGUCUGACUGCCGCUCAGGUCAUGAUCUCGAGGUCUGUGAGUUCGAGCCCCGCGUCGGGCU
rnacentral:tRNA from 1 species